AUUGAACGCUGGCGGAAUGCUUUACACAUGCAAGUCGAACGGCAGCACGGGGCAACCUGGUGGCGAGUGGCGAACGGGUGAGUAAUAUAUCGGAACGUGCCCAAUCGUGGGGAUAACGUAGCGAAAGUUACGCUAAUACCGCAUACGAUCUACGGAUGAAAGCGGGGGAUCGCAAGACCUCGCGCGAAUGGAGCGGCCGAUAUCAGAUUAGGUAGUUGGUGGGGUAAAGGCCUCACCAAGCCAACGAUCUGUAGCUGGUCUGAGAGGACGACCAGCCACACUGGAACUGAGCACGGUCCAGACUCCUACGGAGGCAGCAGUGGGAAUUUUGGACAAUGGCGCAAGCCUGAUCCAGCCAUUCCGCGUG
rnacentral:rRNA from 1 species